UCCACGUCUCGCCCUUUUGGCUAAGAUCAAGUGUAGAAUCUGUUCUUAUCAGUUUAUUAUUGACCUAUCCUCAGUAUCAGACUGGCAAAAAUCAUGAGAAUAUAAAAUUCAAUUAGAGCUGCAACGAUUAAUCGACUUUAUUGAUAAUAUUCGAUAACUGGAUUAGUUGUCGACGAAUCCAGUUAUCGAAUAAUCG